GGGGAUGUUUUGGCAUUUGACAGGGAUUGGUUUGGCAUUAGUUGCAGCCGAGUUGUGACGUAAUCACUACCCAAAGAUAUCUGGCAACAGAAAUCAUUCUAGCUACGCAUUUGCGUAGUGAUGCUGAAGUAGGUCGGUUGACCCUCAGCCCGCUCAUAACAUAGGUUUGUCUUUUACUAAGUUAAAUGAGUGUCACUUUAAAAGACUUAAGCGCUUAUGCGGGGUUAACGUAUAGGCGAUGAAAAUGAUUGUAACCUCGUUGAUGACUGUUUGUCGAAAACAUCACAUCAAUUAAAUCUUAACUUCGACUAAGCUGUAGAUCUAGUGUGGGGCUAUCUUUGGACCGGAGUUCGACUCUCCGCAUCUCCACCA
rnacentral:tmRNA from 1 species